GGGAGAGGGUGCGGAGCAAAACGAGGCGGCCGCCGCAGGCCGGGCUGCGGGAGCCGUUGCCAGGACGCCGUCACCAUAGGAACACGCUUGCAGUGCCCGCAUCUCGGAGGUGUAGAAUGGAUGGACCCCGCAAAGAACAGCUGCGUUUCCUGGGCGUGGGGGAUGUGCGGAGCUCGGGGCUAUGCCUGCGGCUGCCGCGCCAGCAAAUGUCAGUCUCCAGGGAGAAAGUUUGGUGUUGGUGAAACGGCAGUUACUCUGAAUUUCUAAAGGUGCUAAAGACUGAAAGUGUGGGUUUUUCCAGAGCAUAAAACGAAUCCGGGAAGAACACAAGACUGUUAAAAUCAAUUGUGAACAGUACUUUUGUUUGUAAGAUUUCUGGGUUAUAUUUUUAAACAAGACCUAACAUGUAGCUUCAGUAAAACUUCAUACGUCACAGAAAA